CUAUGUAUAUGGUUGUUUUGCCUGCAUGUAUGUCUGUGUGAUGCCCACAGAGGCAGAGGAGGGUGUUAGAUCUCUUGGAAUUGGAGCUACAGACAAUUAUUAAGCACCACAUGCAUGCUGGGAAUUGAAAUUGGGUCUUCUGGAAGAGCAGCUUCUGCCCUUAACUGCGGAGCCGUCUCUCCCGUCCUCCUCCACAUGUCUUCCGUAUGUAAUAAAGGACACUGGAGAUUGGAGUGAUGUCUUCGUGCUUCUGUGCUAAGCCUCCGGGGAAGUGUGAUUAUCUGGGUUGUGUCCACUGUCUCAUCUGUCACCCACAGUGUUGGGGUUUGCAACUGAGCAUGUCACUGCUAGAAGCACCCGGGGAAAGCUGCUAUGUUUGGUCUUUACCUUUGACCACAUCUGGAUUCUGGGGGUGGAACUCAGGUCUUGAUGCUUCCAAAGCAAGCACGUUACAAGCAGAACCAUCUUUCCCGCCUUUUGUUUUCUUUUGACUGUUUCUGCCUGGCAACUAGCCAAUAUCACCGUUCCUGGUGAUGCUGUCCC
rnacentral:lncRNA from 1 species